UACGUAGGCAGCAAGCGUUGUUCGGAGUUCUGGGCGUAAAGGGUGCGUAGGCGGUCCUGUAAGUAUGGUGUGAAAUCUCCCGGCUUAACUGGGAGGGUGCGCUAUAGACUGCGGGACUAGAGGGUGGGAGAGGAAAGUGGAAUUCCUGGUGUAGCGGUGAAAUGCGUAGAUAUCAGGAGGAACACCGGUGGUGUAAACGGCUUUCUUGGGACCAUUUCUGACGCUUGAGGCACG
rnacentral:rRNA from 1 species